ACCCUGUGGAAGUAAUCUCAAGGUCCAGAAUGGCGGUGAAUACUAGGAACACAAUUGGUGUCGUUCUCCUCCUGGUCGUGAUGGUAGCAGCGGUAUCAACACCAGUGGCAACUGCCGAAGAGUUCUGUUGGGACAAAUGUAUCAAGCGCUGCAAGGGAGAACUAGAGGUUUGUAGCCCAAAGUGCAUUCAUUUUUGCAACUAUCAAUCCGGAGCCGUAGGAAUGAUCAAAAUACGUAUGUACGGGGGGUGGAUUCCUCUCUAAUACCAGUUGCUUGAAAAUUUUGUUUCACUGUCAGAUCAAUAGGUCUCUUCCGCUUUGUGGCGUAACUUGUGGCUGAAGUUCAGUUAGCCAAAUGAACUUACAGAACUGUCUCAUGUUAGUGAACCUUCUCUCCGCGAAAGAAUAUGAUAGUAUAUAGCUAUAUGCUUCAAGUGUUUCGAUUUUUAUAUUACCGCAACUCCGGCCUAUUGGGUUAUUUUCACCAGCCAACAAUAUGCUUCUUUAAUCUCUGUUACGAGGCACUAUAAGACUGCAUGCCUAUACCCGACACGUUUUUUAAGGGCAUAAGCAAAAUGUAUUGUAUAUUUAACUUAUUUCCUCUUAGAGGUGUUACCCAAGGGAUUUUGUUUCAAAUUUGAUCUAAAUCUUCAAAUGUUUCCUAAUCCUAAUGAAAAAUCGUCAAUUUCACACAAUUCAUCUAUAACUUUGAAAACUUGUUUUUCUUUAGGCCGCAGUGCCGUCACCCCCUAGUUCUCGCUACGACUUCACCAAAUCGCAUGUUGCCGCUAUGUCUCCCCUUUGGGUCGUAUUGGCGUGAGGCGCGCUCCCCACGGCCCACAAGCCACCGCUACAACGCCCCUCCGGGAUAUAGUGCUGGGACACGCGGUUCUCGCUGCCACACGAGGUCUUUCUGCCAUGGCCCCGACCUGCUCGCUGCCCCGAGGUCUUCCCCCCGUCACCCCAACCCAUGCGUUUCCGCCUCGGGAUGUAGUGCCGCAAUGCACGGUCCACUCCGCAGUGCCCUGCUCAUUGACUUCAUGUGGUAUGCGCCUGUCAGAUUUCGGGCUCCGCAAUACACUAAGGAUUCGAACAUUGGGGCGUGUAUGAAGAUCUCUCCCUGCUUAGCCUUGCCUAACCCACUACUCGAUGGAAACAACAAGGACUCACUUGAUGGCGACGGUAGCAUAGAACACAACAGCUUACGGUAGCACAGAACACAACAGAUUACCCAGUUUCGGGCAGCUACGAAGCGUAAAACCCUACUCUUGCUUUUGGUGGAUUGCCUCUCGUGGAGGUGGUGGAUGAAUUGGUACAGUGCUCUCGAUCCUCCGGAGGCCAAGUGGCUAGGUGUAUUGCCCUACGGUUCGAAUGAACUCUCCCCUACCAAGUGUUCUACCCUCUCAAUUUAUAGUGGAGGCCCGAGUCCUCUACUCUCGUAGCUUCGACGGGAAGGGAUCCCACUGUCGCCAAUUUUGAAGGGGAACACGGGAACAUGCUCCCCUUCCCAAAGGUGGUCAUCGCCUGCAAAGUAACUGUCCGUGCUGCAGGGACUGUCCCGAGGAUGACGUUUGCCCUACUGGCAUGUGGCAACGGCUUCGUUGCACCAUAAGGGAAACCUUUGGAAGAUGCCUUUGGAACCCUUGUACGCUUCUGCCUCCUUCCACUUCUGCUGCUUGCCUGUCCUUUCCUGGCGUCACCAUUGACUCCUGAGGCCCGACCUUGCCUCGGAAUAACCGCCGGUCCGGAGGGGUCCUGAGGAGGCCCCUGCAGGUCUUGACGCCGCUCCUCCUUGUUAGGCUUGGCUCCUCACGAGGGCCCUACCCUGAAUGGUGCCGAGCCUUUUGGUUUAUUCCGAUGAGGUGGGCCCUCCUUUGGCAACAGGCAGGCACGUCUGGGUACCCCCAUUCCAAAACGCCGGUAGUAGCCCCUGGGACCGCGGAGUGCUCGGGUUGGCUUCGGGGCGGAGCCUAGGGGGGCAGCAUGAGGCGAGGACAACACAUGUCACGCGGCUUGUGUCGGGUCCUCCAUGUUCCGUGUCUCUGCCCCCCUUAUUAGGUGCCUUGAUUGUAGCUUCGGUGCCUCAUUGCUUUCCUUCUUCAGUACUCACCCUUCCUCUUUGGUCUCUAACACCAACCGACACAUCCCAGAUCCAACGCCGCAUACUUCCUUGCCAGUUCAACAAUGGCGCCCGCCAGCAAGCAAAAACCAAACGGGCAUGGUCUGGCCCCGGCUUCUCUGCUCCUGGACUGCGCCUUCUCCAAGGACACGAAUCUCGUCCUCGUGCUUCCAUGGACCACGACCGAGUCCAGCGAGCAUGGGCGAACCCUGAUCUGGCCUGGCGCCAUAGAGGAGCGACCGGCGUCCUGAGCAAUAUACCCCUUCUUCCUUCACGGUAUUUACGCUGGGCUGGUGCCGCUUUUCUCCCGGUUCUAAACCGUUGUCUUGGACCACUAUGGGAUCCAAGCCCUUCAUCUCCAGCACAACUCCAUCUUGCUUCUGUCUGUCUUUGAUUUCUACUAUGAGGCUUUCGUUAGUGUGCAGCCUUCGGUUGCCCUCCUCCGCCACUUCUUCAGCUUGCGCCUGCACGACGGCACUCAUUUGUCGGCAUGUGUCUCCUUUGUGGUGGCUUAGAGUGGCAACGUGCUCUUGAAGGUCUGGAAGAAGGUGGAUAACUUCCGGCACCGCUGGGUCCUUAUGUGCCUUAACGAUGCCAACCCUCGGUUGGAGGAGCCGAAGGAGUUGCCGGAGAAGACCUCCGCGUGGAGCUCGGUGAAGCUCUCCGUCCCUCGGUUUGUGCCCGUGCUGGAGCGCUUUUCCCGCAACAUCAGCGCCAAGAGGCUGGCCGGAGGAAUGAUAGUGAAGGAGUUACUAGCGCAACGCCUGGCGCCUCUCGGAGCACACUCCAGGCCCCUGUGGGAGUAUCAGGCUGGCGACGACGAGCUCCGGCUCCGGUCACGGAACCUCCCCAUACAGGACCUGAGUAGGUUCAUGGCGAUCUUGCUGGGCGGCGACCCUGGCGACCUUCCCGAGGCCGUGGGUCCAUUAUACCAUCGUGACGACCGGGAUGACCUGGUCGCUGUGAUGCGUGUCUUCAACGAAUGGGGGCCUCCUGGCACCUGGCCAGUGACUCCAGGGGGCCCGCUUCGACCCAGCUUGCAAUGCGGUCCGCGUGCGUGCUUGCUUCCCGGAAGCUCAGGGCUGAGCCAUCCUUGGCGCACCACACCUCUGUCGGUGGGGGGGGCGUCCAUGGAGCCGAGCUCGCCUCCCUCUUUGGGGGUCCCUGUCACCUCUGCUAUUGCCAAUGCAAAGAGGAAGAAGAGAUGGUGCCAUGUUGAAGAGUAAGCUACUUGCCUAGGCACGCCCUGCGCAUCUAUUGUCCGCGCUUGGCUGAUCCCCCCUUUAUUUGUCGUGCACGGAUGUUGUCUCGCUGGUGGCAAAGAGGAACAAGACGGUCAUCAAGCCAAAGGCGACUCCCGAUGCCCCGCCUACUCUCAUUAGCGCACCGCCAUCUACAGGUGGGGAAGGGGAUGCUCGUGGGGCCGUCUCCCCUGGCCUUGGUCGCCCCCCGAGCCCCCAAAGCAUCCAGAAGCGACCGUGGGGACGCCGUUGCAUGGGGGGCAGGCCGAAGAGGGCCCUCAGGCUCCUCAGGCUCCUCAGGCUCCUCAAGCCUGAGCAUGAAGGAGGCGCACUUGAAAAAGAAGGAGAAGGAGGCCGCCUCAAGGAAGGCCCUCCUUGACGCCCAGGAGAAAGCUCUCGCCGCGGUUGAGGAGAGGAAAAUCGCGGAGCUGGCCUGCUUCCCUGACGUUGAGCUCAGGCUUCGCACGGCGCUCCGCUCCCUCUGCCGGGACGAGUUCGAUGAACCUCUAGCCACCCCAGAGGAUGGCUUUGCCACGCUCGCGAAGGGGCUCGUAACGGCCCAGGAGAUUGCCAUCGUGAAGGUGGACAAGAUCUUGGACAUCAAGUGUCGUGACCUCUUCUUCGUGGCUGCGACUCGCGUUUUCAGCCACCUUCAUCUUCGCGACCCCAGAUUCGAUCUAAGCUUCAUGAUCGUGCGGAGGCGGUGAAGGGCCCUGUGGAGGCGUUGGUCAGGAGGUUCGCUCGUGUCGCAGCUCCUUUGUCUCCACGUGCUGCUGGAGCCGAUGAUGGGGAAGACGAUGCCUCUGACAUCGACAACCAGCCCCCCGUGGAGGGGGCGACCGGCGGCGGCUCCUCCUGAUUUCUUGUCCUUGUUACUUUCCUGCAAUGCACAUCAUUCCUCGCGGAGGCAUUCAACUUAUUUGCGUUUUUAUGAACUUGGUCACGGUUUGUAAUAAUUGAAUGCUUGAAUGUUUUCCACGCCUUGUCUCACACCCUGUUUUUACUACCACUUCUCAGUAAUGCAAAAAUCUGAGCUUGUUAAUACUUUUUCAAAACAAAUGAUGUGAGUGCCAUGAUUGUCAUUGUAUGCUUGUGAGUUUGAUCAUGUGAUGAAAACCCCCAUUUCACAAUACUGAUAUAUUUUCGAAAACCUUUACAUGUUUCUGAUUAAGGUAAAACCCUACUUUGAGUUGCACUACACGUCCUUUAUGGCAAGAAGUGUUUCUACCCAAAGUUGGCGAUCUGAUUUAACUUCAUUUUAGUGCCUUAAAACCACAAAAUAAUUAUUUUUAGAAUUAGUUUCCUAAUUAAAUUGAUGUCCAUUUCAGAGGCCACAAUUGGUAUUCCUACAUGGAAAAAUACUUUUCUGCCUUAGAAAAAUCUUCUUAAAUUUGGAGAUGAUGAGAAGGACAUAUAUUUUCCAUACAUAAGAUUUUAAACCCUAUUUUACAUUAUAAUUAUUUGAAUAAAAACCUGGAAGCCAUUUCUGUCUGUUUUGAGCUUCUGAAAUAUUUCCAAAUAAAAUGUUCUCAAUAAACUCCUAGAAAAUUCCAGUAGUAUCCCUAAGCCAUAUUUGGUGUCCAAAUAAAGUUUCACCUUGGUCCAAGGUGACUAAGGACCCCAAAUAACCCCAAAACCCCUUCUGUCCAGAUUGAAGUUAGAGCAACUCUACAUAGCAAAGUUUAUCCAAUGAUGCUGAAACAUUGCAGGAGUGCCUAAUACCUCAAAUGAGGGUUCCACACCAAAAAUGGGAUUUGUGGGAUUUAGUUUGCCCACAAUCUCUUUGGAAGGGACAUAUCUGGUCACACUGAAGUGUUUUCAAGUUUACAAAGCUAAACUUGUCUAAUGAAGCUCAAAGUUGGUGAAACCCCAUGUUUUAGCACCAAACCCAAACCUGUUAAGUUGCAGCACCAGUGGUGGGGUGCAACCCCCUCAAACCACUGUCGAGCGCCUUCUGACAAAUAGGGAAAAGCCACCUUAGCCACAACUAAACCCAACCCCUUUGCUCCAAACUCAUAGAUUAGGUGGCCAGUAUCCAUAUCUAACCCCAGUCAACUAGCCCCUCACAGGUUCAAAGUGGAAAGGCCAAGAACUCCAAUUUAGGCUUCAGCUCAAGCCUGACAGCACUAGCAUUUCUUGUCUCCUUUGACCAGCCAAAGCUCCCACGAGACCCAAACGGCUAGCCACACUCCCAUCCAGUGUCAGGACAUGCUAUACACGUCCAAAGUGCCUCAGAGCACACCAGCAUUUUGUGGCAUGCCAAAAAUAUGUUCUCAGCGCGCUAUAGGUAGCCACCGAGGUGGUAGCGACGCUCUCGGCCAGUUCUAGCCUCCCACGAGGUGUCCAACCUCUUCCCAGACACCCUCUUCAUCGAGCAACCAUCAAGGCCCCUCCUCCCAUGCAUUAGAGCUCGUGCGACGCGUGCCCGCGGCACCAGAACCGGCCAAGGUUGUGCGGCCACGGAUGCUCGACUCUUUCCUCUCUCCCUCUGUAGCAGAUGGUUAUGGCAGUCCAAAACCAUGUCCUGAGACCGUUGUUUCAACCCCAGCCCCUCUCCGCACCCCCAUGCGCACCACUGUGAGUCACCGACGCUCCCGAAUCGGCUCACCGUCGCGGGCCUAUAAAUAGCCCUCCCCCUCUCUCCUACACCCCUCAGAUAGCCUCACCACGACCACUAGCACCUCCCUAUACACCCGAGCAAACCAACAGAGCCCCGGUGCUCGAAAUUGACCGAGGCCCCUCCGCCUUGGGAUCCGAUUGAUCUCCAGCUACACGAUGGCUCCUGCGCCCCUCGACCCACCAAACUGAUCCCCUCAACCCCAGGAAGCUUUCCCCCAACUCGCCCGACCAUUUUCGUGUCUCUAGCCACCUCCUCGACUACCUCCCGAAACUCCUCCGUGACGGCCUCCUCGCCGCUGGUGAACCCCUGCCUCUCCGACGUUGUUCCGACCACCAGCAGGUAGGCGACAUCAUGGCGAACCCAUUCCAGUCCUUGUUGGGGCCUGAGAGCAUCGGCAGCCUCGCCGACAUGCUCCUCCUCCUCUCUGCCAGAGGUAGGAGGCGACCCCGACAGGUGUGCCCCACCUGUCGGUGGCCCAGCCUCCUCCCCAGCACUGUCCACAGCCACUGACCGCAGGGCCCUGCACGUUAAGUUCAAACCUGACUGCGCGCGCACCUGGGCACACUGUCGGCUGGCCUUGGGCCAGCCCAGCUCCAGGCCGAGCCAGGCCAGGGGCUUGGCCCAUUUUUCUUUUUUAAAAAAAAUCUGAUUUCAAAGGUUCUUAUAAAAAUAUUUAGCCAGUGUAAAAUAUAAUUUUUCCACUGUUAUUCUUCUAAAAAUAUGUAGUAUUUAAUAAUAUGAUUGGAUGAAUUUUUCUACAACUAUUCUGUUUUAUAAUAAUAAAAAGGACUAAAUUGGAAUAGUUUUGAUUCUAUUUGGUUAAUUUUAAAAAUGUUCCUUCAAGAGAAUUCAAGGCAAAUAUUUUUCUAAAUGACAACUUAGAUUUAUCAGUAAUAAAGAACAUUUUUUAAAAUGACUUUCUGAUACGUUUCUGUGUGAGAUAUUUCUUAUUUAUUGUUUUAUCGACGAUAGAAAAUCCGUGUGACGAGGGAAUCGGAGCGGAAGACCUCGAAGACACCGGAUACCUAGCUGAC
rnacentral:lncRNA from 1 species